rnacentral:tRNA from 1 species
GCACCUAUAACUCAGCGGAUAGAGUGACUGGCUUCGAACCAGUUGGACGGGGGUUCAAAUCCUCCUAGGUGCACCA